GGCACUUGAAUCUCACAAGUUUGACACAUGAAUAACCCCCUUCAUUGAUACUGAUCACCCAACAUCACAAGACAUCCCCAUCUCUCAGCGUGGACUCCCCCUAUCUGGGUAUAACCCCAAAGGCAAGCAUUUGUUUGGAUUUCUGUGAAAAUCUGGUAACCUAGUAGAG